GUUAUGACUGACGCUGAGCUGUCUGCAUUACUGUUUUAUGACUCUUAAGUGGAUAGAUGAGUCACAUCCUUGUGUCCUACACACAACCCAUUAAAAGCAACAGGCCUCUGCAGACCUGGGGAAAAACAAGGCAGUCUUGCACUCUUAGAUUUCAUUCCUGGCAAAGGUGCUAUAAGUCAAAAUGAUGUAAGCUGAAUCAGAUUUUCCAGUAGAAACUAAGCCACAUUCAUUACCAACAGCUUAAAGACCAACCUCUUUAUAGAAAAUGACCACAGACGUCACAAUUAGCUAAAUGCAAAUGGUAUAUCUGUAAACAAGUCAAUGUAAGCCUUUACAAAACAUAUAGAUACCGAACAGGGCAAUACAGAAGUCAACCACCGGAUUAUAAUCGCUAUUUAAAAUGCUGAUAUCUUCUAAUGAUUUUUGUUAUAUUUACCAAAAUGAAUAGCAUUUGUUCAGGGACUCUUUGGGCACAUUCUGAGAGUAAUCUUUAAAAAGAUCUGUGAGGAAAAUUAGGAAUGUGCGAUAUGUUUUGAGAAAUAAAUCCAGGGAUGUGUGCUCCUUAGUGUCCGUCUGCUUAUAGUCCCCAAAUGUACAAAGCAAAGAAUAAUUGGCCAUUGGGUUUUGCUUUCUGAACUGCUGGCACAUAAGUACUAGCUACUUACUACCUUAUACCUAAAAAUUGCUUUUAAAAUGCACAACUUAACCUCCAUUUUCACUGAAAUUUCUGACAUUUUAUCCCCUAUUACACUAUUACAAAGUGUCAGGAGCUCUCAGUUCCUGACCUAGAACAGAAGCCAGGUCCACUAAUAUAUAUCAGUGGGUCUGACUCAUUAGACUGAUUAUAAAGGUUGAUUUGAUUCUGACUCCAGAAAUAAUUCUUUUGCAGCAGUAGUAGAAUUGAAUCCUCUAAUGGAAAAAUGUUACUUUCCAAUUAAAAAAAAAAAGACUCCGAAAGAGUGACUAUUCAGAAUACUUGUAAGUUAAAAGCACUUUCUUUUCCCCCAUAAGUGUACUGGAAUGUAGAGAUCCAAAUUCACAGUCUUCUCUGAAAGUCAUUAUUUUGCUCUAAACCUUUCUGGGAUUUCUGUGUGUGAACUGCCUUUUAAAUCAUCAUAAUCCAGGUGAUGUGAUCUAUGUCAAUCACUUUAUGUUCACAAGACAGUUUUCAUUUGUCCACGGCCUUUUUUUUCUUCCUCGGUCCCUCUCUUCUCUCCUCCACUUAAUCUGCCGGAAAUCCAGAUCUUCCUUCUCUGUUACCUUCAUGCUGGAGCCAGACAGGAGACAUUCUUAAGUGCUGGGAGUGGGUACUGGAGCAGGGAUAGUGGAGCCCAACCGAGGUCACCUGUGGACGGGUGGGUGGAGCUGCCUGCCCAGGGUUGUAGUCCAGGCUCCUCUGUUGGAGCUGUUCUUCAUGGUUUUCCUCAGAAGAAAUAGGGCAUCCGCCUGUAUUCAUAUGGGUCUUCCUUCCCAGCUUUGGCUGUGCUUUGGAGAUUCUUCAGAAAGGGAUGAACCCAAUCACCUCUCCUGUCUGAGAAGCUGAGGGAUGUACUAACCUGCUGGGGAUGGAUGAGUGGGUAGAUA
rnacentral:lncRNA from 1 species